UUGCCCCAUAACCUACAAAUAUAUCCCAACCUUCUACUAAUUGUAUUAAACAUUGUGGUACAAUUUCAGAACAAUUGAAAACUUAUACACAACUUUUUGUACGACACCAAAGAUAAAUGCUUGUUUUGGGCCCCUUUGGACCCCUAAUUCCUAAACCUUAGGGACUAUAAGCCCCAAAAUCAAUCCCAAGCCUCCUUUAGUGGUAAUAAACAUUGUGUUAAAAUUUUAUUGAUUUCUAUUUACUUAUACUAAAGUUAUUAUCUGGAAACCAUCCGUCAAAAAUUUUAGCGGCCGUAUAAAAAAACAUUGAGAAGACUAAUUACAUAUUAUAAUUCCUACUGAGGCUUAACUAUUUGUCAAAUUAAGGCAAGAAUGUGUUUGAUUAUUUUCUAAGGCAAUAAUAUUAAAGUUCAAGUGUAAAUCAAUAAAUAAAUAAUUCAAUAAAAAAUAAAUAAAUUUAUAUUUGCUUUAAAUAAAUUAUAUCACAAC
rnacentral:lncRNA from 1 species